rnacentral:rRNA from 1 species
AUGUACCAUGCUGGAGUGGCCGCCACCUGGUUGAGGUAUCGCGCCGCCGCCGCCGCCGCUGCCCGGGUCAUCCUCUCCACCUGCAAGGCUGAGGGGAGCACCAUGAGGAUGAGGAGGUCAGUGGCUGAUAUAGAGAGCUCCUCGAACGAGGAAGUAGGAGCAACUCGAAGAUGUCAUUUUUCAGUUUUGAUGGGAAUCGCUACAACAACAAUUAGAAGAGACUGCAUUGCGCGUUCAGAACCAAUUUCUAGGGGAUUAUGGCAAGGAGCAGUGGUCGUUCGGGUUCUUGGGGAACGGCAUGCACAGGAAAUUUCAAGCAUGGACCAAGGAAACAAGAUGCUGAUGGAGUGUCAUGUAUUGCUGCUACCUGAUUUUCUGUGA